rnacentral:rRNA from 1 species
UACGGAGGAGGCAAGCGUUAUCCGGAAUUAUUGGGCGUAAAGCGUCCGCAGGUGGCACUUCAAGUCUGUCGUCAAAGACUGGGGCUUAACCCCGGAAAGGCGGUGGAAACUGAAGCGCUAGAGUGCGGUAGGGGUAGAGGGAAUUCCCGGUGUAGCGGUGAAAUGCGUAGAUAUCUGGAGGAACACCGGUGGCGAAGGCGGCAUCCUGGACCGACACUGACGCUGAGGAGCGAAAGCCAGGGGAGCAAACGGG